rnacentral:rRNA from 1 species
AGUGAACGCUGGCGGUAGGCCUAACACAUGCAAGUCGAACGGCAGCACAGUAAGAGCUUGCUCUUACGGGUGGCGAGUGGCGGACGGGUGAGGAAUACAUCGGAAUCUACUUUUUCGUGGGGGAUAACGUAGGGAAACUUACGCUAAUACCGCAUACGACCUACGGGUGAAAGCAGGGGAUCUUCGGACCUUGCGCGAUUGAAUGAGCCGAUGUCGGAUUAGCUAGUUGGCGGGGUAAAGGCCCACCAAGGCGACGAUCCGUAGCUGGUCUGAGAGGAUGAACAGCCAAACGGGAACUGAGGCACGGUCCAGACUCCGACGGGAGGCAGCAGUGGGGAAUAUUGGACAAUGGGGGCAAGCCUGAUCCAGCCAUACCGCGUGGGUGAAGAAGGCCUUCGGGUUGUAAAGCCCUUUUGUUGGGAAAGAAAAGCAGCAGGUUAAUACCCCGCUGUUCUGACGGUACCCAAAGAAUAAGCACCGGCUAACUUCGUG